GUAGAGGUUCUUAGCUACGGAGAUGUCCCUGCCAAGACCUAAAAGCUGGGAGAGAAGGGACACCCAGAAUACUGAGAACUAAGCAGGCCUGGAACAAUGCCAAGGCAGGAUACAGGUUAUCCAUAGUGUGUAAAAUCUACAUGUUUUGGAGCAUAUUUUUAUUCUUAAAAAAUAGUGCUACAGAUUAUGGUGGAUAAUGCAGGUGCCCCACCACAUCCCCUAGCUGCCGUGAAUGUUGACUGCUGGAUAGUAUUCCAUCUACCUUGCUUCUUGCUUCUCUCAUUCUUCUUUUCUUAAGAGAAGCACUUCAACAAGAAUUCUUCUCAGGCUCUGCUUUUGGGGAAAGCAACCUAAGACACAGGGAAUUUCAGCUCCUUGAAUGCUCUUCGUCAAAGAACUAUUCUCCUCUCUCUGAGAAGGUGAUCCUCCUCAACCACAGAGGCAGUUUCAGGAAGAGUGCCCAUGGAGGCUUGAAAAGGAGUGUCACGUCUAGGCAGCCAGAGCACACAUGUUGCUAUCUGGACAAUCAAUGAACUGUUCAUGAUGCUCUCUCUGGCCACCUUCCAGACAGGAAGAAAGAGCAGAGGAUCACUGUGAGAGGAAUUUGAGGAUCAAAUCCUGAAGUGGAUUCCUUGCCUAGGGAUAUCAGUAUCCUUCUGAAGAACGCUCAGGAGAAUGGUACGUGAAGGAGGAGACAGAGCGGAAAACUAUUUUUCUGUAGAGAUGUACCUGUGGUGGACAGAAUUUCUAAAAAUGGCACUCAAGAUUCCAUGCUGGAACCUGUGACUAUGAAAAGAUAUUAUUGCCAUGGCUCUGUUAUGUUAUAUAGUACAGGUGAUCUUGAAAAAGGGAGAUUAUUUGGGUUGACCCAAUCUAACCAUAAGUCCUGAAAUGCACAAAGCUUUCUCUGGUGUGACAGAGUUUCUUUGCUUGACCAAACAUUAGUCAGUCUCUUGAAUCUUCUCCCAGGCCCAUCUAUGCACUUCCUUAUAAAAUCCACUUUUAGCAAGAACCCUGCUUAGUGAAUUUAGCAAGAACUCCUCACCCUCGAUAUCUGACUGGACUCCUCAUCCUCCACCAUCUCCCAGGUGAUGUCUGAACAUCCUGGACUGUCUUCAGCAAGAAUCUUGUUAGGAGUAGAAAGCAGAAGGCAACGUUAGAUGUAAAAAGAAAGACCUCAAAGCACUGUUGCUGGUAUGAAGAUGGAGUACUUGUGCUGCCGAAGAGAACACAACAACACACUCAGAGACAGAGCCCAUAGACAAUGGCACCAGAGGAUCUAGGAGCAGAUUUCACUCUCCCCAUCAAUUUACCUUCCCAUAUUUUCCCACCUUUUGGAAGCCUGAAGAUGCUUUCUUCUUUUUCUUGUCACUAUGUAGGAUUUAUGGCUGUUUGUUAAAAUAUUAUUUAAGCAAGGACCCUAAGCCACUGCCUUGAGAAAGAAAUACUUUUGAACUGAGACCUUAGGAAAGGUCUCAUCAGGAGCAUCAUG
rnacentral:lncRNA from 1 species